rnacentral:lncRNA from 1 species
GAACCGACUGUUUCCAGCAAAGUAGACGAUGAACCGACUACUACUUCAUCACAGGAACAAGAUCAAAGCGGGUCUCCUGCUAAGCAGAAAAACGAUGCAGCAUUAAUGGAGUGGCAAAGAAUACAGAACAUGAUGCAAAACAGCAUACCUCUAUGCAAAGGACACAAAGAAGCUUGUGUAGCUCGGGUUGUAAAGAAACCAGGUCCCACAUUUGGACGCAGAUUCUACGUCUGCUCUCGAGCUGAGGUUUAAAAACAAAAACAGAACUAAGUUACUUUCUAAAAGUGAAAACAAUACUCUAAUCUCUAUACAUGUUUUUGCAGGGGCCUUCCUCUAAUCCAGAAGCAAACUGUGGUUAUUUCAAAUGGGCUUCAUCCAAAUUCCGAG